AUCUAGGAGCCAACAUGACAUCCAGUCAUCAUGUCUCCAUAGACUUCUCUUGGUGUGACAGUUUCUAUGAACUUCCUUCUUCUGAUAACCUUGAGAGCAUUGAGGACGACUUGUCAGAUCAUGAACAUUUGAAAUAAAAUCAGAAUUUGUUAAAGGGCAGAUGACAGUCAGCCUUGAGCCCUGAUGAUCCCAGGAUCCCAUCCAGUGGGGGAACUCUAAGUACCAGUCCAAGGUAUCUUUGGAGACUGGAUGUGCAGCUCAGUAGCAGAGCAUUUGCCUGGCAUGUGGGAGGCCAUAGAGUCCAUCCCAGCACCACACACACAGAAGAUGUCUUUGACAGGACUCAAGCAUGAGAGGUAUGCUUUAAAAAGAUCAUGUAUUGGGGCUGGGGUUGUGGCUCAGUGGUAGAGCACUCACCUAGAACAUGCGAGGA